GACGAACGCUGGCGGCGUGCUUAACACAUGCAAGUCGAACGGUAAGGCCCUUCGGGGUACACGAGUGGCGAACGGGUGAGUAACACGUGGGUGAUCUGCCCUGCACUUCGGGAUAAGCCUGGGAAACUGGGUCUAAUAACGGAUAGGACUCCUGCCUGCAUGGGUGGGGGGGGACAGCUUUUGCGGUGUGGGAUGGGACCGCGUCCUAUCAGCUUGUUGGUGGGGUGAUGGCCGACCAAGGCGACGACGGGUAGCCGGCCUGGGAGGGUGACCGGCCACACUGGGACUGAGAUACGGCCCAGACUCCUACGGGAGGCAGCAGUGGGGAAUAUUGCACAAUGGGCGCAAGCCUGAUGCAGCGACGCCGCGUGAGGGAUGACGGCCUUCGGGUUGUAAACCUCUUUCAGCACAGACGAAGCGCAAGUGACGGUAUGUGCAGAAGAAGGACCGGCCAACUACGUGCCAGCCGCCGCCGUAA
rnacentral:rRNA from 1 species